UACGUAGGGUGCAAGCGUUGUCCGGAAUUAUUGGGCGUAAAGAGCUCGUAGGCGGCUUGUCGCGUCUGCUGUGAAAACCCGAGGCUCAACCUCGGGCCUGCAGUGGGUACGGGCAAGCUAGAGUGCGGUAGGGGAGAUUGGAAUUCCUGGUGUAGCGGUGGAAUGCGUAGAUAUCGGGAGGAACACCAGUGGCGAAGGCGGUUGCCUGGAGCUUUGCUGACGCUGAUGCGCGAAAGCGUGGGGAGCGAUCCGG
rnacentral:rRNA from 1 species